rnacentral:rRNA from 1 species
CGCGUAGGCGGCCACCGCAAGUCAAUUGUGAAAUCUCCGGGCUUAACUCGGAAAGGUCAACUGAUACUGCGGGGCUAGAGUGCAGAAGGGGCAACUGGAAUUCUCGGUGUAGCGGUGAAAUGCGUAGAUAUCGAGAGGAACACCUGCGGCGAAGGCGGGUUGCUGGGCUGACACUGACGCUGAGGCGCGAAAGCUAGGGGAGCGAACG